rnacentral:rRNA from 1 species
UACGUAGGGUGCAAGCGUUGUCCGGAAUUAUUGGGCGUAAAGAGCUCGUAGGCGGUUUGUCGCGUCUGCUGUGAAAACUCGGGGCUUAACCCCGGGCCUGCAGUGGGUACGGGCAGACUAGAGUGCGGUAGGGGAGACUGGAAUUCCUGGUGUAGCGGUGAAAUGCGCAGAUAUCAGGAGGAAAACCGGUGGCGAAGGCGGGUCUCUGGGCCGUAACUGACGCUGAGGAGCGAAAGCGUGGGGAGCGAACAGG